rnacentral:rRNA from 1 species
UAAGCAAUUGUUAUCAUAGAUAACGCUAGCAAAGCAAAUGAGCUUUCAAACACUUUUUAUGGAGAGUUUGAUCCUGGCUCAGGACGAACGCUGGCGGCGUGCCUAAUACAUGCAAGUCGAGCGAGAUUAUUUGAGUGCUUGCACUCGAAUAAUCUAGCGGCGGACGGGUGAGUAACACGUGGGCAACCUGCCCUACAGUUUGGGAUAACUCCGGGAAACCGGGGCUAAUACCGAAUAAUCCUUCGAAUCACAUGGUUUGAAGUUGAAAGGCGCUUCGGCGUCGCUGUAGGAUGGGCCCGCGGUGCAUUAGCUAGUUGGUGGGGUAAUGGCCUACCAAGGCAACGAUGCAUAGCCGACCUGAGAGGGUGAUCGGCCACAUUGGGACUGAGACACGGCCCAAACUCCUACGGGAGGCAGCAGUAGGGAAUCUUCCACAAUGGACGAAAGUCUGAUGGAGCAACGCCGCGUGAGUGAUGAAGGUUUUCGGAUCGUAAAACUCUGUUGUAAGGGAAGAACAAGUGCGUUAGGUAAUGAACGCACCUUGACGGUACCUUAUUAGAAAGCCACGGCUAACUACGUGCCAGCAGCCGCGGUAAUACGUAGGUGGCAAGCGUUGUCCGGAUUUAUUGGGCGUAAAGCGCGCGCAGGUGGUUUCUUAAGUCUGAUGUGAAAGCCCACGGCUCAACCGUGGAGGGUCAUUGGAAACUGGGGAACUUGAGUGCAGAAGAGGAUAGUGGAAUUCCAAGUGUAGCGGUGAAAUGCGUAGAGAUUUGGAGGAACACCAGUGGCGAAGGCGACUGUCUGGUCUGUAACUGACACUGAGGCGCGAAAGCGUGGGGAGCAAACAGGAUUAGAUACCCUGGUAGUCCACGCCGUAAACGAUGAGUGCUAAGUGUUAGGGGGUUUCCGCCCCUUAGUGCUGCAGCUAACGCAUUAAGCACUCCGCCUGGGGAGUACGACCGCAAGGUUGAAACUCAAAGGAAUUGACGGGGGCCCGCACAAGCGGUGGAGCAUGUGGUUUAAUUCGAAGCAACGCGAAGAACCUUACCAGGUCUUGACAUCCCAAUGACCGCUCUAGAGAUAGAGUUUUCCCUUCGGGGACAUUGGUGACAGGUGGUGCAUGGUUGUCGUCAGCUCGUGUCGUGAGAUGUUGGGUUAAGUCCCGCAACGAGCGCAACCCUUAUUCUUAGUUGCCAUCAUUUAGUUGGGCACUCUAAGGAGACUGCCGGUGACAAACCGGAGGAAGGUGGGGAUGACGUCAAAUCAUCAUGCCCCUUAUGACCUGGGCUACACACGUGCUACAAUGGACGAUACAAAGAGUCGCAAACUCGCGAGGGCAAGCUAAUCUCAUAAAAUCGUUCUCAGUUCGGAUUGUAGGCUGCAACUCGCCUGCAUGAAGCCGGAAUCGCUAGUAAUCGUAGAUCAGCAUGCUACGGUGAAUACGUUCCCGGGCCUUGUACACACCGCCCGUCACACCACGAGAGUUUGUAACACCCGAAGUCGGUGGGGUAACCAUUUAUGGAGCCAGCCGCCUAAGGUGGGAUAGAUGAUUGGGGUGAAGUCGUAACAAGGUAGCCGUAUCGGAAGGUGCGGCUGGAUCACCUCCUUUCU